rnacentral:tRNA from 1 species
GGCUCCAUAGCACAGCGGUCAGCACGUCUGCUUUAUACGUAGAAGGUCCUGGGUUCGCGCCCCAGGUGGAGCCA